rnacentral:rRNA from 1 species
GAUGAACGCUGGCGGCGUGCCUAAUACAUGCAAGUCGAGCGAAUGGAUUAAGAGCUUGCUCUUAUGAAGUUAGCGGCGGACGGGUGAGUAACACGUGGGUAACCUGCCCAUAAGACUGGGAUAACUCCGGGAAACCGGGGCUAAUACCGGAUAACAUUUUGAACCGCAUGGUUCGAAAUUGAAAGGCAGCUUCGGCUGUCACUUAUGGAUGGACCCGCGUCGCAUUAGCUAGUUGGUGAGGUAACGGCUCACCAAGGCAACGAUGCGUAGCCGACCUGAGAGGGUGAUCGGCCACACUGGGACUGAGACACGGCCCAGACUCCUACGGGAGGCAGCAGUAGGGAAUCUUCCGCAAUGGACGAAAGUCUGACGGAGCAACGCCGCGUGAGUGAUGAAGGCUUUCGGGUCGUAAAACGCUGUUGUUAGGGAUGAACAAGUGCUAGUUGAAUAAGCUGGCACCUUGACGGUACCUAACCAGAAAGCCACGGCUAACUACGUGCCAGCAGCCGCCGUAA